AAUAGACCUGAACUUCCAGCCCUCCCACAGACCUCCUUCAGUAUUUGCUUCGUGAUUCAUUUCUAAUGCUGCUACACCAAAAGAAAACAGAUCUCAUCUGAGGAUUUAUGUUUUGAGGAGAGAUUGAUGGUGAUGAAAAUACAACUCAGGAGGCUGUCCCACGCUCUACUAAGCCAACAGAACAGUGCAGUCCCUUUAAUUGCUGUGAGAUACAUUGUCACCAAAAUCCAGGAAUGAAACUCACCAACCUGAGUGACAGAUCAGAAAGCCAACAUUGCUAUAUUGCAACACUGGAUGCAUAGGAGAUGUAUCCUGGCACGAACAUCCAGGAGGUAAAGCACACAGAUUAUAUACAUUCAGCAUGUCUGACAUCUCCUGUUCUUGUUGUCCAACACUUCUGGGCACAACAUACCCACAGCAGCUCUUUGGUUUAUGACCUUCAGUCCUGACCCUGCAGUCAGCCUGUGAGGACCUCAGUCAGCUUCAGUCCUUAGGCUUUUAACUUUUUGAAAUGCUGAUAUCAUUUAUAAAUCCUUCAAAAAUUUCUGUCUGGAGGAAUUUCAGAGAAAAGUGGUAGCAGUACAGUCACAGGCUGCCCCUUUCAGUUGAGAGCACAGCUUUCUGGCUGCUGGCAGCAAUUAGAUCCUCAGCAUGGCAGAGGCAGUCCAGCAGGGCUUGCUGCACCACCUGGGACAUCAGAGCAGAUGUGGCUUCUCUUCAUUCCUCCUUAAGUGGCCUAGUAGUUAUGACUUACUUCCUCAUUUCUGUGUGGUUGAGUAUGCUGUCUGUGGAGGGAAAUUCUGCCAAAAAGAGAGGAAUGGAGAAAAAAAUCUUACAGAUCUUACAGCAGAGUUGUACGUCCAGGUUGUUAGUUACUUAUCAGUUACUGUGCUUAUGCAUCUAAUAAGCUUGUGAACUUACUUCCAGUGUGUGAUUGGCUGAUUAAGCUGUAGACUUGUCCACUCUGUCAGCCUCUCUUUUUACAUCAGCUGCACUCAAUUCAUCAUUUUCAAGGCCCUUUGAUGGGCCUGGUCCAUUAGAUGCCCAUUUUCUUGUGCCCAGAGACAGAGCACCCCAAGUGUAGCCUCUUAUGCUGCCUGGCCUGCAGCCAGUAUCAUUUACAACUCAAGGACUUGUGAAGAAUUCAGUCUGAAUGGAAGCACAGAGACUUAAUCUCAUUAACCUAGUUUUAAGUAUCAGAGCAGCAGAAACAAUCCACGUAAGCCCUAGGGCAUCUUCAGAAGAUGAGUCAAAGGCUAUGCCUGCCCGCCAAAAAGAAGGCGGCCAGGAGUGUGUCUGAGCACCGGCGGCCUGAUUGUCUGCACUGAUUAACCUCUGGCUCAGCUCAGGGAUCCUCCAGCCAUUUCCCUCCCAGGCAAGCCUUGGAAACGAGCAGGAAGAGGACUGACUCCAAGGACCACUCCCGAAAGACAAAUCAAAUAAAGUGGUGCUUGAGAGGCACCGAACAAUUGAGUUUGCUCUUCAGCAGGACAACUCAAGUUCAAGCACCACUGGCAACACAACUCGUGGUGUUGCCAGGAUUUUUGUUUGCAUCUGAACUUUGCCAGUUGUGACUUGAAAGCAAGGAAGAAUGCUCAAAAAACAGUCAAAAUGAUGCUGCAAAAUCUGAUAUGGGCUGUCAUGCAUGCAUGACAAGAAAGGAGAAAAUAAACUGGUAAACCGAUA